rnacentral:rRNA from 1 species
ACGAACGCUGGCGGCACGCUUAACACAUGCAAGUCGAACGAGAGAAGAGAAGCUUGCUUUUCUGAUCUAGUGGCGGACGGGUGAGUAACACGUGAGCAAUCUGCCUUUCAGAGGGGGAUACCGAUUGGAAACGAUCGUUAAUACCGCAUAACAUAAUUGAACCGCAUGAUUUGAUUAUCAAAGAUUUAUCGCUGAAAGAUGAGCUCGCGUCUGAUUAGCUAGUUGGUAAGGUAACGGCUUACCAAGGCGACGAUCAGUAGCCGGACUGAGAGGUUGAUCGGCCACAUUGGGACUGAGACACGGCCCAGACUCCUACGGGAGGCAGCAGUGGGGAAUAUUGCACAAUGGAGGAAACUCUGAUGCAGCGAUGCCGCGUGAGGGAAGAAGGUUUUAGGAUUGUAAACCUCUGUCUUCAGGGACGAAAAAAGACGGUACCUGAGGAGGAAGCUCCGGCUAACUACGUGCCAGCAGCCGCGGUAAUACGUAGGGAGCGAGCGUUGUCCGGAAUUACUGGGUGUAAAGGGAGCGUAGGCGGGAUCGCAAGUCAGAUGUGAAAACUAUGGGCUUAACCCAUAAACUGCAUUUGAAACUGUGGUUCUUGAGUGAAGUAGAGGUAAGCGGAAUUCCUAGUGUAGCGGUGAAAUGCGUAGAUAUUAGGAGGAACAUCAGUGGCGAAGGCGGCUUACUGGGCUUUAACUGACGCUGAGGCUCGAAAGCGUGGGGAGCAAACAGGAUUAGAUACCCUGGUAGUCCACGCCGUAAACGAUGAUUACUAGGUGUGGGGGGACUGACCCCUUCCGUGCCGCAGCAAACGCAAUAAGUAAUCCACCUGGGGAGUACGACCGCAAGGUUGAAACUCAAAGGAAUUGACGGGGGCCCGCACAAGCAGUGGAGUAUGUGGAUUAAUUCGAAGCAACGCGAAGAACCUUACCAGGUCUUGACAUCGUAUGCAUAGCUCAGAGAUGAGUGAAAUCUCUUCGGAGACAUAUAGACAGGUGGUGCAUGGUUGUCGUCAGCUCGUGUCGUGAGAUGUUGGGUUAAGUCCCGCAACGAGCGCAACCCUUACUGUUAGUUGCUACGCAAGAGCACUCUAGCAGGACUGCCGUUGACAAAACGGAGGAAGGUGGGGAUGACGUCAAAUCAUCAUGCCCCUUAUGACCUGGGCAUCACACGUACUACAAUGGCUGUUAACAGAGGGAUGCAAAGCCGCGAGGUGGAGCGAACCCCUAAAAGCAGUCUUAGUUCGGAUUGUAGGCUGCAACCCGCCUACAUGAAGUCGGAAUUGCUAGUAAUCGCAGAUCAGCAUGCUGCGGUGAAUACGUUCCCGGGCCUUGUACACACCGCCCGUCACGCCAUGGGAGUCGGUAACACCCGAAGCCUGUAGUCUAACCGCAAGGAGGACGCAGUCGAAGGUGGGAUUGAUGACUGGGGUG